rnacentral:rRNA from 1 species
ACUCCUACGGGAGGCAGCAGUGGGGAAUAUUGCACAAUGGGCGAAAGCCUGAUGCAGCAACGCCGCGUGAGGGACGACGGCCUUCGGGUUGUAAACCUCUUUUAAUAGGGAAGAAGCGAAAGUGACGGUACCUGCAGAAAAAGCACCGGCUAACUACGUGCCAGCAGCCGCGGUAAUACGUAGGGUGCAAGCGUUAUCCGGAAUUAUUGGGCGUAAAGAGCUCGUAGGCGGUUUGUCGCGUCUGCUGUGAAAACUGGAGGCUCAACCUCCAGCCUGCAGUGGGUACGGGCAGACUAGAGUGCGGUAGGGGAGAUUGGAAUUCCUGGUGUAGCGGUGGAAUGCGCAGAUAUCAGGAGGAACACCGAUGGCGAAGGCAGAUCUCUGGGCCGUAACUGACGCUGAGGAGCGAAAGCAUGGGGAGCGAACAGGAUUAGAUACCCUGGUAGUCCAUGCCGUAAACGUUGGGAACUAGAUGUAGGGACCAUUCCACGGUUUCUGUGUCGCAGCUAACGCAUUAAGUUCCCCGCCUGGGGAGUACGGCCGCAAGGCUAAAACUCAAAGGAAUUGACGGGGGCCCGCACAAGCGGCGGAGCAUGCGGAUUAAUUCGAUGCAACGCGAAGAACCUUACCAAGGCUUGACAUAUACCGGAAAUGGCUAGAAAUAGUCCCCCCGCAAGGUCGGUAUACAGGUGGUGCAUGGUUGUCGUCAGCUCGUGUCGUGAGAUGUUGGGUUAAGUCCCGCAACGAGCGCAACCCUCGUUCUAUGUUGCCAGCACGUAAUGGUGGGAACUCAUAGGAGACUGCCGGGGUCAACUCGGA